UUUAUCGUCAAGGCAUGCUUUUUAACUUAAACGUAGACUCAGACCUAAUGCAUGUACAUCAGCUUUUCGUCUCUGUUUAACUCUUAACAUAAAAUACACAUGGUAACCGGCUGACAAGAAACGCUGAAACAACCGUGUGCAUCCUUAGGGAGCCCUUAGAACACAACAGCAACAAGAACAGCCAAAAAUCGAGUUGGAUGGGUGUCCUUAGAUUUACUGAUCGACAGAAAGAUUAACUUCCCCUCAGCGACAAGUAAAUGUUGGGAACACUCCAGGAGGAUAUCGUUUAACCUACCAUGGUGCAGUUCAGUCUAAUUUACAGUCGCUUUCAACUUACGUGGCACACAAGCACCGCAGGUUGCCUAUUAAGGAAGCCCUGACAAAGCGAUCUUACACCAGAUGGAAUUCAGCCACAGAAAUUGUAAACAAAACCCGAGAACAGACAUCGAGAGCAUGCGUUUCUGAAGCUUGCGACAAAGGUUUUUAAGGAACACAAUCAAGAGACACGACUAGAAAAAGCAAAAGAGCUUCUUUGUUUCGGAGGUUCCAUGGACUUUUCUAGCAAUUUCCUCUGCUUCAGCAAUUCUUUUACCUGACAACAUGACAAGAAAAGAUGUUUAAAACUUUUAAACAGCGCAAACGUUGGUACAAUAAAGGUUACUUACAGUA